AUUGAAAAAAAAGUGUGAAAUUUCAAGGGAUUAAGCUAAUAAAGGUGGUAAGCCUUCUAAUAAGAGUAAAGAGAUUGUACCUGAAGAUCGGGAAUAGGAGUAUAUCGAACUCCUAGUACUGGUCAGGAUAGUCGAUAGAUAGCUCAUUUCAUCGAGGAUUACAAUUGGACUGGCAUCCUCAAAAUAUGUAGGUUUAUCUUUCUAGAUACCUUUGGUCGUUCGUGGGCCCACGUGUCACUGCAAAUUUAAUUUUAUACUUUGGU